UGGCUGGGGGUGGCAGAAGACCAAGACAGAGAACUCGUUGCCCUUAGACUCCCACUGCCACCUGUGCCCUCCACCCUUGUCCUGGCCCAGGGAUGCACUUGGAGGGUGAGGAUUUUCUAGGCCCCCCCACCUCCCACCUCUGCACUCUGCUACCAUAGCCAAGGGGAGAUGUAGCUGGGGAGGGUGGGUGUCUUCUCCCAAGGCUGCCC
rnacentral:lncRNA from 1 species